AGAGUUUGAUCCUGGCUCAGAUUGAACGCUGGCGGCAUGCCUUACACAUGCAAGUCGAACGGUAACAGGUCUUCGGAUGCUGACGAGUGGCGAACGGGUGAGUAAUACAUCGGAACGUGCCCGAUCGUGGGGGAUAACGAAGCGAAAGCUUUGCUAAUACCGCAUAAGAUCUACGGAUGAAAGCAGGGGACCGCAAGGCCUUGCGCGAACGGAGCGGCCGAUGGCAGAUUAGGUAGUUGGUGGGAUAAAAGCUUACCAAGCCGACGAUCUGUAGCUGGUCUGAGAGGACGACCAGCCACACUGGGACUGAGACACGGCCCAGACUCCUACGGGAGGCAGCAGAAGGG
rnacentral:rRNA from 2 species